GAUGAAGAACGUAGCGAAAUGCGAUAAGUAAUGUGAAUUGCAGAAUUCAGUGAAUCAUCGAAUCUUUGAACGCACAUUGCGCCCGCCAGUAUUCUGGCGGGCAUGCCUGUUCGAGCGUCAUUUCAACCAUCAAGCCCUGCUUGCGUUGGGGUCCUGCGGCUGCCCGCAGGCCCUGAAAACCAGUGGCGGGCUCGCUAGUCACACCGAGCGCAGUAAUACAUCUCGCUUUGGGCGUGCGGCGGGUUCUUGCCGUUAAACACCGCCUUUUUACCAAGGUUGACCUCGGAUCAGGUAGGAAUACCCGCUGAACUUAAGCAUAUCAAUAAGCGGAGGA
rnacentral:misc_RNA from 1 species